NNNNNNNNNNNGGCUUGCAAUUCUGGAUGGUCUGAAGAUGUACAAGUCUAACAAGUCCCCUGGUGAUGCUGAUGCUGUUCACCCGGGGUCCAUGCUGAAGGCCAUUAGCUUAGGGCAGCAAAUGGACCUGUAGAGUCCCUUCACUAGUUCCUGGCCAUGUGCACUAGACAUAAAAAGAAGCUGACGAAGAGCACUGGAAGAGUCCUGGUUCCUCCACACAGCAUUCAGAAUGUGCGAUUGAAGAGUUGACAUCCGAGCAUGUCUGCUUUUCUUCAGAAGAGUAUCUCGCAUGCAAAGAAACAGCCAAGCAAAUCAGGGAAGACAAACCCAUCUGGUCCAUUGAUGAGAAGGUUUUAAGAAGAUAGUGUCCCUCUAGGUGCUAAAAGAUCUGGAAAUGAAGAGGCACAAGUUCCCACUGCACCUGCUACCCUGGGAGUCAGGUGACAUGGUUCUACUCUUGGUUGUGCUGCUUAAUGGCCGAGUCACCUUGUAUGGCAUCACUGGAUUUUCCUGAGCAUUCACUAGCAAA
ensembl:processed_transcript Gm38143 predicted gene, 38143